rnacentral:rRNA from 1 species
AUUGAACGCUGGCGGCAUGCCUAACACAUGCAAGUCGAGCGUGAUUUAUGAGGACGAAACUUCGGUCUAGGAAUCAUAAUGAAAGCGGCGGACGGGUGAGUAACGCGUAGGCAACCUGCCCUUGACACAGGGAUAGCCUCGGGAAACCGGGAUUAAAACCUGAUGAUGCCAAAGAGUCACAUGGCUCGUUGGCCAAAGAUUUAUCGGUUAAGGAUGGGCCUGCGUCUGAUUAGUUUGUUGGUGGGGUAACGGCCUACCAAGACUACGAUCAGUAGCAGACCUGAGAGGGUGAUCGGCCACAUUGGAACUGAGACACGGUCCAAACUCCUACGGGAGGAAGCAGUGGGGAAUAUUGCACAAUGGGCGAAAGCCUGAUGCAGCAACGCCGCGUGAGCGAUGAAGGCCUUUGGGUCGUAAAGCUCUGUCCUUGGGGAAGAAACAAAUGACGGUACCCAAGGAGGAAGCCCCGGCUAACUACGUGCCAGCCGCCGCCGUAAAAC